rnacentral:rRNA from 1 species
GACGAACCGUCCAAACGUUAUUCGGCAUCACUGGGCUUAAGGGGUGAAUGGGCGGAUGGGUAAGUCAGAGGUGAAAUCCCACGGAUCAACCGUGGAAGUGCCCCUGAUACUGCCGAUCUCGAGGGAGAUAGGGGCGUGCGUAACUCAGAGUGGAGCGGUGAAAUGCGUAGAUAUUCUGAGGAACACCGGUGGCGAAAGCGGCACGCUGGAUCUCUACUGACGCUGCGGCACGAAAUCCAGGGCAGCAAACGGG